GGGAAGAGGAAAGAGUCAGUGCUGUGAGGAGCUGGCCAUGAGAAACACCAAGAAGGUGUGGAACUGUUGUGGUAAGGAGACAGCAGUGUGGAAUCCCUGCAAUAAGAUGAAAACACCACAGCCCCAGCACACCAUUUUAUUUCCUUGGAAACUUUGACACCAGUCACUUCACAAGGAGAAACAGGAAUCUUCUGUCACUCAGAAGAGAAAGGGGGUGGUCAUUGAGAUGCUCAGUUCCUUCCGUGAUUGCCUGAUUGCCUGCAAGGCUGAAAGAAAAGAAAAAUAAUCAAAGAGACCAAGUUUGCAUCUUUCAAGAUAAAGAGAAGCAGGGCUAACAGUUCUCUUUCUGCAUGGGCUCCACAGCAAGGGCACUUUUUGCUUCUUUCAGUGUGCUCUGUGCAGGCUGCUGAUGGCCAAAGUGGUGUCGCUGGGGAGUGCACAGCCCUCCCAGUCCCUCCUCAGGCCUGCACCACCACUGCUGCUGCUCUGCUGGCCAUAAAUAAAAGGUCAUUGGCUGUGAAAGAAA